GGGCUGACUCAAGCGGAGGUGCGCGGAACGGUCGCCGCGGCGAUUCCCGCCCAGCUCCCCUGCCCUGAGACAGCCUCCUGUGCUUCUGCUGUGUCCCAGGAAACAAGCACUCACCGUCCCUCAAGAAUGUGCCCUGACCCACCUUCCUCACCAUGGUGGCAUCAGGGCCAGGCUCCUGUGACCACCAGGCAGCGGCCCUGCCAUGUCCCAGCCCCGGACCCCAGAGCAGGCACUGGACACGCCGGGGGACUGGCCCCCAGGCAGGAGAGACGAGGACGCCGGGGAGGGGAUCCAGUGCUCCCAACGCAUGCUCAGCUUCAGUGACGCCCUGCUGUCCAUCAUCGCCACUGUCAUGGUCUGUACGGGGCCCCUGCUUAGGCCUGCCCCGCCCCGAGCCCCUCAAGGCACUGCCCAACCCACCUCAGACCUGUCCAGGUCUUGCCAGCAUCCUUGGGUCCCCCAGCUCCUCAGGCAGCUUAGAGGGGCCCAGCACUGCCCUCGAGUCCCCAGUACCGCCACACCCAGUCCAACAAGCGUCUCCUGCUUCCUCUGUCUCUUUGCCCCCUCAGAUCCUGCCUGUGACCCACACGGAGAUCUCCCCAGAACAGGUAACGGGGCAGGCUGUGCUCUGCGUGGUGUGGCCCUGAGAAGACACAGGGUCCCUGAGGCCCGACCUGGCACGGGGGCUGACCCUGCAUGCCUGGAAGCUUCUGAGGCUUAGGAGGCAGAGGCGGGAGGCGGGGGCCUCCUUGGAAAGGGAGGGAGCCAGCAAGUCCUGCUCAGCCUGUGCUCACCCCGGCGGAGGUCCUGGCCUCCUGGGAGGGUGGGAGACUGGGCUCCUAGGGCUCUGUUUCCAAGUUCAGUGAACAAAGGCAGCACCCUGGAAGUGAGCCAGAGGACAGGUUGGAAGAGGAAGGUUCCGGGCCUGUCCCAAGGACAGAAGUUUCCUCUGCGGGAGGGCAG
rnacentral:sRNA from 1 species